rnacentral:rRNA from 1 species
GAUGAACGCUGGCGGCGUGCCUAGUACAUGCAAGUCGAGCGAACAGACGAGGAGCUUGCUCCUCUGACGUUAGCGGCGGACGGGUGAGUAACACGUGGAUAACCUACCUAUAAGACUGGGAUAACUUCGGGAAACCGGAGCUAAUACCGGAUAAUAUAUUGAACCGCAUGGUUCAAUAGUGAAAGACGGUUUUGCUGUCACUUAUAGAUGGAUCCGCGCCGCAUUAGCUAGUUGGUAAGGUAACGGCUUACCAAGGCAACGAUGCGUAGCCGACCUGAGAGGGUGAUCGGCCACACUGGAACUGAGACACGGGCCAGACUCCUACGGGAGGCAGCAGUAGGGAAUUUGCAGCAAUGGGCGAAAGCCUGACGGAGCAACGCCGCGUGAGUGAUGAAGGUCUUCGGAUCGUAAAACUCUGUUAUUAGGGAAGAACAAAUGUGUAAGUAAAUAUGCACGUCUUGACGGUACCUAAUAAGAAAGCCACGGCUAACUACGUG